CGGACCUCGCCUUUCCCACUUGGUUAGAGUCGGCUCUGCCGGGAAAAAGCGAUUCCAGAAUUCCCUAAGUUAAAGGAAUUUCUUACUCCUUCUUGAGCGCCAUCCAAGGGCCAGGCCUUAGUCUAGGAACUGGCAACACGGUAGCGACCACGUCAGACAAGAUCGCUGCCCUCAUUGAGUUACCAGGUUGGCAGGGGAAACAAAAAUGUAAUAAAUAACUGCACUUUGCAAGAAGAGCUAUGAAGAAAAAACAGGGUGAUGGGAGAGAGAAUGCUUGGAUGUUGAAGGGAGGCCUUUCUGAGAUGGCGACGUCUUGAGCUGAGUAAAGAAGGAUGAGAAAGGAUGGGGCUUGCAAAGUUCUGGCUUCAAAGAAUUCCAGGCAGAGGGAACAAGAGUGAAGUCUCCAGGGGAAGCCAGCUUAGUGUUUGGAGACUAGAAAGAAGGGGUGUGCGGCUGGAAGAUGCUGGAGGUAGAGGAUGGAAACUCAAAAGAUGAUUGAAGAUUAAAAAACAAGAUGAUUGAGGCUGGACUUCUCAAAACCUUGCUGCAGCCUGAGCUUGAGUGUUUGUGAGCUUUGCAGCCAGAUAUGAACAGAAGACAGAUUCAUUUCCUGCUGCCUGCUUCUCCAACCCCAGAUCUCCCAGUUUGAUCCGAGAGCCCUGAAGAUUUGCCUUCACCCGGCGCCCCCCAGAUGCUUCUUUUUAAGCCUUGCUUGUAAAUAGGUGUCAGUAAGGGUCUCACCAUGCAGGAUGUGGGCGUGUGGGUGCUCCAGAUCCCCCCACCGGCUGUCACCAUCCCCCUGCUGUUGCCAGUGCAUCCCUUGAGGAUGCCUGGCAGGUUACACCCCACCCCGGGGGCAAAUGGUGACUGACAACAGAACAAGCGCUCACCUGCUUGCCCCACAGCAGGACAGUUCAGUGGGAGGAAUUUGUUCUAGAGCACUCUGGAUCAGGCCGAGGCUUUCCCCUUCCAUAUUCGGCUUCUUUUGCUCCUCUAAUAAGUCAGGCAUGUGGAGCCC
rnacentral:antisense_RNA from 1 species